rnacentral:lncRNA from 1 species
GUGAAAGGAACUCAAACAUGGGAGCAAUGACUGUAGCGUAGAGCCUGCAUUAGCGGGAAGCUGGAGUCAAGAAUCAGAUUCAGGUGUGGAACGAAGGUAACCGUGAAGCUAUCAAGUCAAUAUGAUGGAAGAGGCCUGACUGCUGCUCGUGGAAGUGAGCAUGCUCCCAUCUGCUGAUUCACUCCCCAAAGGCAGGACUGGGCCAGGCAGGGUCCAGGCUGAGAGUGAAGCCAGAACUGAGAAUGGAACCAAGGCGCUCCAGUGGUGGACGGGGGCUUCUUGAUUGCUAGGCUAAACAAGUACAGUAUUCAUCAAGAAGGAAGAAGUACACCUAAAACUGCAUUAUGGUCAACAUCGAGUAAUCUUCCAAUAAGCAAGUUACCUUUUAGGUGUCGCCGUGUCUGGGUAGGUGUCCUAACCCCGGUUUUCCGCCACUCCCUGGUUCCAGUUCCAUAUAAGUGUGCUCUCAGGUUCCUCAUAAGGGGUGCAGAGUCCCACAGGCUGCAACUAAGCCCUCCAGUGCCAUACCUGUCAAUGCAUAAUGCUGAUGGACCUAUAAACAUUGUAAGGAACCUGGAUUGGAUGCCCUGUCUUGCAAAGUGAUUCCACUGCACCCACCAAUGUUAAUAAACUACUUUUGCCAAUCCUCCA